rnacentral:rRNA from 1 species
UACGAAGGGGCGUAGCGUUGUUCGGAAUUAACUGGGCGUAAAGACGCGCGUAGGCGGACCACCAAGUUGGAUGUGAAAUACCCACGGGCGUCAACUCUGGAACUGCAUUCAAAACUAGUUGGUCUAGAGGCUAGGAGAGGUCAGUGGAAUACCGAGUGUAGAGGUGAAAUUCGUAGAUAUUCGGUGGAACACCAGUGGCGAAGGCGACUGACUGGACUAGUACUGACGCUGAGGUGCGAAAGUGUGGGGAGCAAACAGGAUUAGAUACCCCGGUAGU